rnacentral:rRNA from 1 species
AUUGAACGCUGGCGGCAGGCCUAACACAUGCAAGUCGAGCGCGAAAGUUCUUCGGGAUGAGUAAAGCGGCGGACGGGUGAGUAACGCGUAGGAAUCUGCCCUUAAGAGGGGGAUAACUUGGGGAAACUCAAGGUAAUACCGCAUAAGCCUUCGGGUGAAAGGUGGGGAUCUUCGGACCUACCGCUUUAGGAGGAGCCUGCGUCGGAUUAGAUAGUUGGUGGGGUAAAGGCCUACCAAGUCGACGAUCCGUAGCUGGUCUGAGAGGAUGACCAGCCACACUGGGACUGAGACACGGCCCAGACUCCUACGGGAGGCAGCAGUGGGGAAUAUUGGACAAUGGGCGCAAGCCUGAUCCAGCCAUGCCGCGUGUGUGAAGAAGGCUCUAGGGUUGUAAAGCACUUUAAGUUGUGAGGAAGGGUGUAUUGUGAAUAAUGAUGCACUUUGACGUGAGCAACAGAAUAAGCACCGGCUAAUUCCGUGCCAGCCGCCGCAGUAA